rnacentral:rRNA from 1 species
UGAGUAACACGUGGGCAAUCUGCCCUGCACUUCGGGAUAAGCCUGGGAAACUGGGUCUAAUACCGGAUAGGACCUUUAGACGCAUGUCUUUUGGUGGAAAGCUUUUGCGGUGUGGGAUGGGCCCGCGGCCUAUCAGCUUGUUGGUGGGGUGAUGGCCUACCAAGGCGACGACGGGUAGCCGGCCUGAGAGGGUGUCCGGCCACACUGGGACUGAGAUACGGCCCAGACUCCUACGGGAGGCAGCAGUGGGGAAUAUUGCACAAUGGGCGCAAGCCUGAUGCAGCGACGCCGCGUGGGGGAUGACGGCCUUCGGGUUGUAAACCUCUUUCACCAUCGACGAAGGUCCGGGUUUUCUCGGAUUGACGGUAGGUGGAGAAGAAGCACCGGCCAACUACGUGCCAGCAGCCGCGGUAAUACGUAGGGUGCGAGCGUUGUCCGGAAUUACUGGGCGUAAAGAGCUCGUAGGUGGUUUGUCGCGUUGUUCGUGAAAUCUCACGGCUUAACUGUGAGCGUGCGGGCGAUACGGGCAGACUAGAGUACUGCAGGGGAGACUGGAAUUCCUGGUGUAGCGGUGGAAUGCGCAGAUAUCAGGAGGAACACCGGUGGCGAAGGCGGGUCUCUGGGCAGUAACUGACGCUGAGGAGCGAAAGCGUGGGGAGCGAACAGGAUUAGAUACCCUGGUAGUCCACGCCGUAAACGGUGGGUACUAGGUGUGGGGUUUCCUUCCUUGGGAUCCGUGCCGUAGCUAACGCAUUAAGUACCCCCGCCUGGGGGAGUACGGCCGCAAGGCUAAAACUCAAAGGAAUUUGACGGGGGGCCCGCACAA